CUGCGAGUGAAGCGGGAAAAGCUCAAAUUUAAAAUCUGGUGGUCUUUUGGCCGUCCGAGUUGUAAUCUAGAGAAGUGUUAUCCGCGYWGGACCGUGUACAAGUCUCCUGGAAUGGAGCAUCAUAGAGGGUGAGAAUCCCGUCUUUGACAUGGACUGCCAGGGCUUUUGUGAUGCGCUCUCAAAGAGUCGAGUUGUUUGGGAAUGCAGCUCAAAAUGGGUGGUAAAUUCCAUCUAAAGCUAAAUAUUGGCGAGAGACCGAUAGCGAACAAGUACCGUGAGGGAAAGAUGAAAAGAACUUUGGAAAGAGAGUUAAACAGUACGUGAAAUUGCUGAAAGGGAAACGCUUGAAGUCAGUCGCGUCAUCCAGGGAUCAACCUUGCUUUUGCUUGGUGCACUUUCUGGUUUGAUGGGUCAGCAUCAAUUUUGACCAUUGGAAAAAGGUCAAGGGAAUGUGGCAUCUUUGGAUGUGUUUAUAGCCCUUGGUCACAUACAAUGGUUUGGGAUUGAGGAACUCAGCACGCCGCAAGGCCGGGUUUAAAACCACGUACGUGCUUAGGAUGUUGACAUAUAUAAUGGCUUUAAUCGACCCGUCUUGAAACACGGACCAAGGAGUCUAACAUGCCUGCGAGUGUUUGGGUGGAAAACCCGAGCGCGUAAUGAAAGUGAAAAGUUGAGAUCCCUGUCGUGGGGAGCAUCGACGCCCGGACCAGACCUUUUGUGACGGUUCCGCGG
rnacentral:rRNA from 1 species